AAUUUUGGACAAUGGGCGCAAGCCUGAUCCAGCCAUGCCUCGUGAGUGAAGAAGGCCAUCGGGAUGUAAAGCUCUUUCGGACGGAAAGAAAUCGCACCGGCUAAUCCCCUGCCCGGAUGCCGGUACCGUCAUAAGAAGCACCUGCUCACUACCUUCCUGCAGCCGCGGUAAUACGUAGGGUGCGAGCGUUAACCGGAAUUACUGGGCUUAAAGCGUGCGCAGGCGGUUGAUUAAGAAAGGCGUGAAAGCCCCGGGCUUAACCUGGGAACUGCGCUUGUGACUGGUCAGCUAGAGUAAGGCAGAGGGGGGUGGAAUUCCACGUGUAGCAGUGAAAUGCGUAGAGAUGUGGAGGAACACCGAUGGCGAAGGCAGCCCCCUGGGCCGAUACUGACGCUCAUGCACGAAAGCGUGGGUAGCAAACAGG
rnacentral:rRNA from 1 species